UCAUCACGCUGCUUUUUAUAUCCUCAAAUUAUAUUAGUUGCCAAUGAUUUAGUUACUCAAUUAAUAGAAAUACAUUUCAUUAUUUCAAACCAAAGACGUGUACUUCCAUCUUUUCUUUGUUGAAAACUUAUAGAUCCUUUAUGUACGUUUUGAAAUCAUGCAGUUAGUUCUAUUUUUUUUUUUUGUAAUUGUAGUGGGACAAGGAGAUCAAGUAAACAUGCAUACUUUGUUAACACAAAGUUUGAACAGAAAGAUGGUUAUAGAUACUAUUAUUAUCUGGUAUUACAAAACCAGCAAACACUGGAUCCGAACGUUCUAGCAUCCACAAGGGAAGGAACCAGUGUGACAUUAACUAUUUUGCACUCGCAAACUUCAGUAUAAUUGGUUGGAUUUAAACUUUCUCACACGUAACCUUUUCAUCCGUACACCUGACAGGGUCGGGUACUUAGUUUCGCCAUGUGAUUCUUCAUCGGAGCAACUUUGCAAUCUCUUUCUAUCGGACGUGUAAAUAAAAAGUUUGGAAUUUGGAUAUCGGUAUGUAAUGCUUCUUUCUGUUAAAAAAGCAUUUGAUUUCUACAUUUUUUGUUCCUAUGUUUCCAUGAUUUUGGUGCGGUUUCAGGUUGUGUAAAAUAGCGAACUAUCAUGUUAAAUAUGAUCGCCAUUCAAAAUGACGUAUUGUUGAGAAAUGAAGCCGAAUGACCAUGCAGUAAUUAAUUCGUAAGUUCUGCUUUCCAGGUAAACUGGAAAUUGAAAAUCAAGUCCAGAUACAGAUCAAUAUUAUGUUUUUUUUUUAAAAAAAAAAAAAAAAAAAGAUAUAAUUUCGCAGUUAUAUAAAAUCAAAGGAAAAAAAUAAUAAUAAACAAAUUUGAAGCCACCAGCAAAGCAAACACAACUGGGGCCACACAAUAAAAUAUACCGUAGAAGAAUGUUAUUGAAGUGGUGGUGUUGCAAACACCCAUCAAAAAGACUUUUGCUUUGUUAAAAUAAAA